AAUCAUCAUGUUUCUUGCACCAAAGUAAAUCUGCAAAGAAUCUUUACUCCUUCUUUCCUUAACCAAAAGUUUUUUGAGUUGUCCUUCAGACACUGCACCUGUCAUGAUAUCCUAUUACAACAGCCUUUUAGUUCUUUCAGCCAUGACGUUCGUUCCAAAAGAGUUUCCUGAAGAGAGAAAAUAAUCCAAGACCUUGCCAGCAUACAAUCGAAACUCGCCAUCCUGUCAAAAAAUCAUCUCCAGUCAGAUUUGUUCGUCUUUCAUUUUUGACAGACUCGCAGGCUGUCAGAAAGCAAUCAAGGCUGUAUGCUAUAUUUAUAUACCUCCAAUGAACUUGUCUGCUUCAUAAAGUAUCAUCUAAGUUUAAUCAUCAAAAUAUUGCUUCUGUGUAUUAGUAUUCCGUAGUAACCCUACAAGUUUUGUUUAAUUAAAAGCUAUGACUUGUUUCAAAGGAAAAAUAUUAUUUUCUUCUUUUCUUUCAUUGAUUCUGUAAGUAACGACUUAAACUUGGAUCUAAAGCUUUUUUUUAGUUGUUCCAUUACUGAAGUAUCCUUUUUUCUUGUUUCUUUCUUUUAAAUUUUAUCAGUGUAAAGUGUAAAGUCUAUUUACUUGUUGAAAUUGGUAAUUUUACCCACUCAAAAUUGAUGAGUUUGUUUUUUUAAUGCUUGUUUUUUUAUUUUAUCUAUUUAUUUCUUUUUUCUUUUACUCAACAAUUUGCGAUGUUUCUGGAGAUCAGUUGGACUUAAGUUAUCACUGUUUCGACUUAAUUAUCUCAUAUUUUAUUACAUUUUAUUUGACAAAGACAAGAAGAAAUUUGACUUAUCAGAAAUUAAUGAAUGGAUACUAAAAUUUUUGAACAACUGACUAAGAAUUUUCUAACAGAUGCUGCAUGUAGAAAAAGAAUUCUUUCUCGUUUUUGUCUUUCCAAAUUUUAGCUCGGAAGAAUUUAUUUGAUGUUUUUGUUUUUAUCAGUGAUCUCAAGUUCACAAGAAUCAAGCAGAGCCAUAUUAUCCGUAGGUUUGUUCAAAUCAGCCAGGCUAUGUCCCUCUAGCUCCAUUGAAUUAAGCACCAAUUCCUACUCCAGUCUUCUCCUGCAGCAGACCAUUUGCUUUUUUCAAUACAAUCAGUUAUCAUCAUUUGUUCUUUCAAACUUUCAACUUUUUAUUUUGUGUUCUGUUUGUCUCAAUAAAUAUUUUAAGCUUUUUUUUUUUCAUUCUGUGUUAUUUGUAUCCAUCCUCCAAUUUUCUUUAAUUCGCUCUCUGUCAAAGGCUCAGUUUUCACUGGCAGUUAAAUGUCAUCACAACAAAUGGAUUGAAUUUGAGAAAGGAACCAAGAGCAUUCCAAUGUUGCAAAAAUUGUGCAACUUUUUUACCUUGCAAAUAUAUACUAAUCAUCUGGACAAGUUUCUUCCUUAAUCCCAAUAAACUAUGUAUUCAAGACAAAAUUACCUUUGUAAUUUUAAUUUUUGCACUAUUUCAGUAAUUUUUUACAAAGGAUGCAAAUUGUACAACCCUAGCAACAUUGGAAUGCUCUUAGUUCCUUUUUGCAAAAUGCAAUCCAAAUAAAUCCUACCCCUUAAACUAAUGGUUGUAAAAAAACAUUGGACAUGAUAGCAAGUUUUGAGAGCCUUUAUUCUUGCUCAUUUAUUUAUCGAUUUUAUUUAUAGCUUCCUUAGAAUGUAGGAAUAAAGUUCACGGAAACAUUUAUUUAAUUUUUUCAAGUCAAUUACUGGCAAUUUUAAGGGGGAAAUCCUACAGCUUGCUUCAACCCAUUAAGCGGCACGCUGUGCAUGCAUUUAACAGCUAGCCAGCUGACACUGGAAAUGAGUUUCAUUAAAAAUUCGAUGUCUCCUUUGAUUGUUUUUGAAAAAAUAUAAGGAGACAUUUCCUGCAAUGUUUUUCUUACUCAAUCAUAUAAAAACCUGUUUUUCUAAAACUGGAGGAUUAUUUGAUAAAAGUUUUUAUCAAAGAGGAUCUUUACGUCUUAUCGAAAACUAUAUGUCAUUUCAGUUUAGCCAUGAAUUCAAUGGCUCAAACACAGAAAAAAAUUACUGUUGCCGUUUUUUUUUUUUUUUUUUUUUUAAAAAAAUCACCAGGGUCAGUUAAAAUAUCAAAUUUUAUUAUUAUUGUAUGAAGGAACGGAGAAUCUUCUUCUUUUUUUAAAAAUAAAGUUCAAUAAAGAAAAAAAGACUAAGUAGGAAAGUCAUCUUACUUAACAUCGUUUCUCGUAAGUUAGCUGUUUUCUGAAAACAUUCAAUGUGGAAAACUUCAGUGCCAUCUCAAUGCUGCCUCAAGAAUCACUGAACUGUCGGUCUUAAAUAAAAACACGUUAAAACAUAGAUUCAUUUUUAACAUUUCAAUGCCAAAAUUAGCGAUCUUCUGGUUCUUGCUAUAGGCCGAUAUUUUUUUAUCAUUGCUGUUGUCCUUCAUUUUGGUUAAUCCAUAAAUAGAUACAUCUACUUUAAGGGAAGUAAGGACAAUUGUAGGAAAACAUUAACAGAAAAAUAUUGUUUUUUAUUUACUUCAAAUCUACCGCUAGAAAAUCACAUGCUCGGUUAAAUAAUUUUCAAUGUAAUGACAUUAUAAUAUACUUCAAUGAUACGAAUUACAAAUUUUUAAAAGGAGAUGAUAAACAUUUAUUAACAAACAAGACGGAAUUUUAAACAAAUGGACAGUAUUUUGAAAUGUAACACACAUGGGAGAAACAUAUAACAUUUAAAAACUCAGUACGGGGUGGGUUUACGUUUUCGUUCUUUUUCAUGGUUUUCAGUCGAUUGUUAAAUCUUCCGUCACACUUGGUUUCCACCCACUUAAAAUACUUGCUCACCGGCCUUGUUAAGAGAACUCCUGUAUCGGGGGUUGUGCCAACUGCAUCAACAAUCUUGUUAUACCAACAAAAAUGGCCAUUGGUUUGAUUUUGAAAUCAUGUGAUAGCUGAGGACUGUAGAUUAUCUCCAUUUCUAGAGUACACCCACCCCAAUAUACAUUAAUCUUGCGUAAAAACUGAACUGGUGCACAUCUACGAGAUAGCAGUCGUCGCUAGAAUUAGAAUUUGACAUACCCUUGCCGAUAGUGUCUCUGUCAAUGGCCAGAUCUGAGAGGCACCUUCUAAGGACCACAGUUGCAAGUCUACUGUUGAUGUA
rnacentral:lncRNA from 1 species